GUGGCGUGAGUGGAGUUGGCGCAGGCGCGUCUGUGCGGCCGGCGAGCGUCCGGUCCCCGCGUCCCCGCCCCUGUCCCCGCGUCCCUGCGUCCUCGACCCCGGAGCCCGGUUCCCGCCCGCUGGUCCGUGCCGCGGUCUGGGGCGCCGGGAAAGCCGGGGGCCCGCGGUCCCCGUGUUCCCUGCGUCCCCCGGGUCCGUCUGUCUCUUAAACCCUCGUUGUCUCACCUGGAGCUCGUGGCAGAUGACCAGUUGGCCAAAGGAAGAGCGUUUGAGUCAGUCGUCUGUGCCUUUCUCGGCAGGUUAUAUAAAUCCGCGUCCGAGGAGGGCAGGGCCGCGGCCGGUGUCACCGCACCCGCCCGCGGCCCGGAGUCGGCUUCCCUCGGUGUUGACAGUGCUGUCCUGCGACGGCUCCCAUGAAAAUGGGUCCCUGCAGCAAGUGUGAGCUAAUCUUGAAACGCAGACAGCACGAAGACAUGAAUUUUAAAUAGUAAGUGGUAGGCUGGCCACAAAUAACUUUCCUUACCUCGCUCCAAAACAUAAAUAGAUAAAAUAGUUAUUAAAACAUCUGUCAACGCGCUGAACUGUACAUGAGAAAAAUCAACCAGUGCAAAACAAGGCAACCGGGUGUGUUUCUGGGAGAACAGGAAAAAAUACCUUGGAAAUUAAAGGAGUGGCGAUGUUUAAGCAACUCUGUGAGACGAUCUCUCAAGAGAAGAUUAAAGGCUUAUUCCAAAGUCAGUGUUAGCCCCGAUGGGGCGGUGCUGCUGGAAUCUACUUCACUGGAAGGUCACUUCAAAAUGCAACAGCAGGGGUUUGAACUGGUGUGAAGGCCUUUGGAGAGAAGUGAGGACAAGGUACAAGGGCACCCGGUGGGCCUGGGGACAGCGAGCAGAGGUGGCAGAGACAUGGAAGGUACUGGGGCCUGGAACCUGCUGGGCGAGGGAAGCCAAGCCGCGAUAGGUCGGGUCUGUAGGACGGACAGAGGAGCGGGGAGACUCUGUGACUUUGUUUCCUCAACUGCAACAUGGGGAUAGUAGGCUUGACGUGAAGGUUAGCUGUGUGGGCUUGGCGCGCACUAACACUCAGUAAGUAACAACUCUCCUGUGUCGUGGCCUCGUCAAGAAACUGAUGAAAGGCACGGACUUCUCCCCAGCAAAGGUUGGGGCCAGGACACGGGAAGCAGAGGAUGAGAAGAGGAAUUUGUCCACCUGGUUGUUUGGCUCUUGCCCAAGGGGAUCCACCAAGAGCACGAACAGACGCCCGACAGGAGGAGCCCCUGGUGAGCACCGCGUGACGGGUCCGCACGUGUCACAGCCCCAGAAGGCCCGCGGUAGGGGUUCCACACCUCCUGAUUCAGGUGAGAGUGUGUUCUGUCCGCUGACCUUGAAAGUGGCCCAGGCCGCUCUCAGCGGCUCUGGUCCAGCCCUGAGGCAUCGUCCACUCACUCGGCAUCGGGGCGGAGCGGCUGUGCACACCCGGCGGCAAAGGCCCCUCACUGCCGACGCGUCCCCGUAGGUUCUUGUUGGCACCACGGCUCUUCUUUGCUCCCCGCCUGCCUGACCAACACCACGGCAGUCACCUCACAGACCAUGCGGCAGUUUUUUUAAGUGAUGAAAAUAUCCAGAAAUGGUUUGUUACUGAGUUCCUUCUGCUUGACCCGCACAGUGUUCGCAGCUGCAGGGACACCCUCAGCCGGUGCUCCGCAAAUGCCCCUCCAUCAGUUCAGGAUCCCAGAGCUCCAGAGCGGAGCCCUGAGGGCCUUCAACAAAGCCUGAAGAGGUGGCCCUGAGGGGAGACGCAGCAGGAGCCGCAGGACGGCCAGGCUCGUCCCCACCAUGCUCAGAACCACGGGACGGUCAGUAUUUGGAAGCUGCUGGAUUACUGCGCGUGGCUCCCCAAUCCACUGCGGGAAUCCACUCCCCUUCCUCCAGCCCUGAAGGGCGCACUUCACAGAGGUGCCCUGGGAAUUCAGCAAGCAGAUGAGAGACUUCCACGAAGUAUCGGAACACCUGGAUAAUCACUUAAAGCAACCAAAAGCUGCCUCACGCCACACACAGAAAUUAGCUCAAAGACACCAAAAUGUAAAUCUAAAUCCAUGAAACUUUUAGGAGAAAACACAAGGGACUGUCUCUGAGACUCUCACAGGCAGAGAUUGUCCACACAUGCAGAGCAUUCGACAUAAAAGAAAAAAAUUAAUCAACCAGGCUCACUAAAAGGAAGAACGUUUGUUCUUCAAAGAGCACAGUUAAGAAAGUAGAAAGACCAGUCGGAGGCAGAAGAGCCCAGCUCUGGGACCAAAGCCCUGUUUCCUGCUCACCCCUUACACCCACUGGGACGGUGGCUGUCGCAAAAGCAGGAAGUAGCAAGUGCUGGGGGACUGCAAAAUGGGGCAGUCAGCGUGGAAACGGUGUUCCCGUUCCUCACAAAAUUAAAACCAGAACUUCCGCCUGACCCAGCAAUUCUAGCUUCUGGGUGCUCUCACUAAAGAACAGAAAGCAGAUCUCAAGGAGACGCCUGUGCACCGUGUUCCUGCAGCGCCAUUCACACUGGCCCAGGGUGGAAGCCAACAGGUGUCCUUCGACAGGUGAUGGGUGACAAACGCGGUCCAUCCCUACAGUGGAACAUUAGUCAGCCUUAAAGAGGAAGGAAAUUCUGACACCUCCUGCAACACGGAUGGAGCUUGAGGACACACGCCCAGGGAAACGAGCCAGUCACGAAGGGACAAGCACUGUGAUUCCACUUACAUGAGGUCCCUAAGGUUGACAAGUUUGUAGACAGUAGGACAGUGGGUGCCAGAGACUGGGAGAGGGGAGAGGAGCUGGGGUUUAAUGGGGACGGAGCUUCAGUUUUACAGGAUGCUUUGUGGAGAUGAUGGUGGUGAAUGUAUUUAACACCAGUGAACAGGACACUUAGAAAUGGUUAACACAGUGAAUUUUAUGUUUUGUGUAUUUUAGCACAAUAAAAAAAGAAAUAAGAGGGGGAAAUCCUAUGUGGGAUCUUUCUGGUUGACCACAGGCCAUCACAAGGCUUUGUCCUAGGCUCGGCCCCACCCUUUGUCCCUCUCACUGGACUUCAGCCCUCAUUCCGGAGCUGCCACCGUGGACAGCCCAUGGGACCCUGACCGGCCCCAGGGCAGAGAGGGCAGGACUUGGGCAGGAGAUGGUGUGCCUGAAACUCAGAUCUUCCCAAAUGGGACGGGCUCCUGCAGGGCAGUGAGACCCCCAUCCUGGAAGCGUUCAGAGUGUAAACUAAUAUAGUGAGGGUGUCUGAGAGGAGACUCAAGCCACGAGGGUUUUUCUGGAGGAGAACUGGCUGCUGGCUGACUCAGAGCUUGUGGGGCGACAGGACUGGUGGAGGCUCCCACAGCCUGGGGCGCACCGAGUGGGGUUCCCUUCCCUUCCAGCCGUGUAUCCACUUCUUUAUCUAACCAACACUUACCAAGCAUGUAGUAUUUCCCACAUGUGCCAAGAAAUGCAGAGCAGGUGACAGGCGGCCUCGGCCCUGGUGGGACGUGCGCCCGCUGCACUUUCUCCGACAGCUUCGGGAAGGCCGCCUCUGGUGCUCGCGGAGCCUGGUUUAGGGUUAGUCACGGGGGGCGCUGCGCCGGCUGGGCUCAGGACCAU